CAGCACCUCAAGUGGUCAGGAUGAUUAUUGGGCCUAAAGCAUCCGUAGCCGGCUCUGUAAGUUUUCGGUUAAAUCUGUACGCUCAACGUACAGGCUGCCGGGAAUACUGCAGAGCUAGGGAGUGGGAGAGGUAGACGGUACUCGGUAGGAAGGGGUAAAAUCCUUUGAUCUAUUGAUGACCACCUGUGGCGAAGGCGGUCUACCAGAACACGUCCGACGGUGAGGGAUGAAAGCUGGGGAAGCAAACCGGAUUAGAUACCCGAGUAGUCC
rnacentral:rRNA from 1 species